GCUCCAUUAGCUCAGUGGUUAGAGCUCCAGUCUUAUGAGCUGGAAGUCGCCGGUUCGAUCCCGGCAUGGAGCA
rnacentral:tRNA from 1 species